ACUACCAAUUUUGCAGGGUCUCAUCUUAGCAGCAACGGACACCACAGCUGUUACAUUGACAUGGAUUAUCUCCCUGCUUCUCAAUCAUCAUGAUAUUCUAAACAAGGCUCGAAAUGAACUAGAUAUUCAGGUGGGCACAAAAAGGCAAGUGAAUGAAUCAGAUAUAAAAAAAUUAGUUUACUUACAAGCCAUUCUUAAAGAAGCAAUGCGUUUAUAUCCUGCUGCGCCACUCUUAAUUCCACACGAGUCUAUAGAAGAGUGCACAGUAAGUGGUUACAAUGUUCCCAGCGGCACACAACUUUUUAUCAACGUUUGGAAGCUUCAACGUGAUCCCCAUGUCUGGGAAGAGCCUUGUAAGUUUCAGCCAGAAAGAUUUUUGACAAGGCACAAGGAUACUGAUGUCAGGGGACAAAAUUUUGAAUUGUUACCUUUUAGUAGUGGCAGAAGAAUGUGUCCUGGAGUUUCAUUCGCCCUCCAAGUUAUGCAAUUUACACUUGCUUCUUUACUUCAUGGCUUUGAUAUUGCA
rnacentral:lncRNA from 1 species